GACGUAGGAUGCAAGCGUUGUCCGGAUUUAUUGGGCGUAAAGAGUUCGUAGGCGGUUCGUUAAGUCUGAUGUUAAAGAUCGGGGCCCAACCCUGGGAGUGCAUUGGAUACUGGCGAACUGGAGUGCAGUAGAGGCAAGUGGAAUUCCCAGUGUAGCGGUGAAAUGCGUAGAUAUUGGGAAGAACACCGGUGGCGUAGGCGACUUGCUGGGCUGUAACUGACGCUGAGGAACGAAAGCCAGGGGAG
rnacentral:rRNA from 1 species